GAUGAACGCUGGCGGCGUGCCUAAUACAUGCAAGUCGAGCGAACAGACGAGGAGCUUGCUCCUCUGACGUUAGCGGCGGACGGGUGAGUAACACGUGGAUAACCUACCUAUAAGACUGGGAUAACUUCGGGAAACCGGAGCUAAUACCGGAUAAUAUAUUGAACCGCAUGGUUCAAUAGUGAAAGACGGUUUUGCUGUCACUUAUAGAUGGAUCCGCGCCGCAUUAGCUAGUUGGUAAGGUAACGGCUUACCAAGGCAACGAUGCGUAGCCGACCUGAGAGGGUGAUCGGCCACACUGGAACUGAGACACGGUCCAGACUACUACGGGAGGCAGCAGUAGGGAAUCUUCCGGAAUGGGCGAAAGCCUGACGGAGCAAAGCCGCGUGAGUGAUGAAGGUCUUCGGAUCGUAAAACUCUGUUAUUAGGGAAGAACAAAUGUGUAAGUAACUAUGCACGUCUUGACGGUACCUAAUCAGAAAGCCACGGCUAACUACGUG
rnacentral:rRNA from 1 species